rnacentral:sRNA from 1 species
UGUUAUACCAGGGUCUGCCGCGACCCCCA